AAAAAAAAAAUUAAACAAUUCUUUUUUUUUUUUUUUUUCAAAAUCUAGAGGGUCGCUUAUCAGUAUCUUCUUUUCUCGUAGUUCCUUAACAUCUUCAGAUUUAACAAUGAGUGAUUUCAUGAAAUUCACAUAACAUAAUACAAUAACGUUAGUAUCCCUUCCUAGAGACAUUUCAUGUGCAAUCAAUUGCAUAAGUAUUAGCCUGGAAUUAGCAUCAAAAAAUAAAACCGGUAGUUGAAGUUGCCCAUAAAAUGUGUAGGAUUUGAACUUAACAUCCGUAAAACAACAUGAACUUGGUUGGAAGUGGACGCCCUUUGCUUUGAGGUCGGUGACUGAACGAGAUUGAAGAUUGUAGUCCAAAAAUUUUGGCCACCGUUGACGUCGUUCAGAAGGCUCUUCUCCUGCAUCAUCCACGUCUUUGACAAAUGAUUGAUAACAAGCAUCCAGAAGGUGAAGUGGUAGCCUUUCGCCUUUCGUAGGAAUUUUUUUUUUCCAGUUACCCGCGAAAGCAAUGAAAUGUCUGAGUUUAUCAAAUAAAGUGGAUGCUGUUCCAUGCUUUAAUUCAUACAAGAGACUAAUAACCAUAAGUGGAAUUUGAUUCUCGAAUAAAAUCAGAACCACAACCACCAUGUCUCCUUUCAUUCCAAG
rnacentral:lncRNA from 1 species